ensembl:lncRNA
CUGGGCCCCACACUCAGAAGGGCCUGUGCUUGGUUUAACGCUCUGCUAGCUAUCCGGGAAUUUUGAGUUUAUGUUUGAGCUUGCGUUUUGUAAGCGAAGAUGAACAGGACAAUGGAGCCUGCCCAGGAGCAGAGCAGACCUGUGCAGCAUGUGCGUCCUCCAUUCCUUGCUGCCUCAUUCACGGAGGGCAUUUGGGAUGUCGGAGGAGCACUGAACUCCAGCGGACACCGUGGGUGGCAGUUCACUAAGACUGAAAACAAGUAGAAGCUGAGUGUUAUGGAAGCUGCUUUGAAUCUCACUGAACACCAGAAGUCCCUGCUCCUGCUCCAUAUCAACAGGACGACAACUGACAAACGUAAUCGACAAAUUCAACUGCUUCUUAAGACUGCACCAAGUCAGGAAAAUAUAACCAGGUCAACAGCAAGAGGACUGUGUGAAGCCUCCAAUUUGCUACGGCAGGAAAUUACACAUCCAGUGUCCUUAACAGCCAUUCCAACUUGUUCAGAUGACGACUCAACAGGGAGGGCCCCACUUCGGUCUUUUCAACUGUCUCUGGAGUUGGAAACCGGGCUUCUCAGAAGAUAAUCCCUCCUUCUCUGAUUUCUUCAGUUGAGUUCUCUUAUGCACUAUGAAGAAAAAGUACUACAAUCAGGAACUGUGCCAAGGUUGUACGUCAGCCCUCACACCUUCUGUCUGUUGGACUGAAGAUGGGCCAUCAGUUGAUGAACAACCCAGAAAGUCUCCUUUAUCUGUUUCCUUUGGUUGAUUCUUAGGAAAUAGGAUGUGUUAGAACAAUUAUAUUCUAAACAUCUUUGAAUAGAAAUUAGAAAUGAAGCAGAGAAGGAAAAAACGGAAGCAGAAAAAGAUCAAAGUAGGUCAACUUCUUCACGACAAGCUGAUUACAGGUGUUGCUCUUCUGCACCCACACACUGUUGAUCGUGCUGUCCGGGAAGACAUCUUCCUUCCUAAAGACAUUUUCCUUAGCAGCCUAAGUGAGCUUUAGUUUCUCCUGAGGUGAAAACUCUGUUUUUCAUGAGACAUGCCCCUCCCAGACUGGAGGCUAAAGGGGACUUUGUCUAAUGUCUUCAUUGUAUCCCCAAAUACCCAGGCCAACAAGGGAAGAGUGUGAAUGAACAUAGACACAGGCAUUACCCCUCGAACAGAGAAAAAGCCUGAAAGCCUCUUCUAGUUUGAAAGAAAAUCUCAAACUAUAGGAGAAGGGUCUUGCUGUGAUACGAUGUACAUGUCGGAGGUUGUUUACAAGGUCCUUCCUAAAAAUAAUAUUUUAAUAAGUGCUCAAUUACUAAUGCUGUAUAACAAACUGCUCUAAAAUGUAGUGGCUUGAAACUAGCACCAUUUGUUGGUUCUCACAGUUCUGUGGGGUUACUGCGGGGGUCUUCUGUUGGUCUUUCAGGGCUCGCCUAUGCCGCUGCAUUCCACAGGCAGCUCUGCAAAGCCCUGGGCUCAGCUGCAACAGCAGAAAAGCCUGGGCCUCUCUCUCCAUGUGGUCUUUAAUCCUCAAGGAGGCUGAACUCUGCUUUUUCACAUGCCAAUGGCAGCGUCCCAAGAAAGUGAAAGCAAAAUCUGCAAUGCCUCUUAAGGAGUAACCCAGAUCUCAUAGUGUUGCUUCCUCUGCGUUGUAUCGGUCAAUGCAAGUCAAGAGGCCAGCCCAAGCUCAAGGGUUGGGAAAUAGACUCUACUGCCUGACAGAAGCACCUGUAAAGGGACCCAGCAGAAAGACGUGGGCCUAGGGGAGGCAUGGCUCAUCAGGGGCCAUUAUCAUAAGAAUCUACCACACAACGCAAUUGUCAGAUCCAAGCAUACGGGGGCCCAAAGGGACCAGAACAGGAACCCAGGCCUCUUGACUUCUAGUCCAAGCAUCUUCACACUGAACCAGUUAUUCCAAACAACCGCGCUCAACUUCGAGGAGACUCAAACACAUCAUGGUGCUGACUGCAGCUUUCAGCAUUAGCCUAUCAGAUGUGGAGGUCUGCCUUCUGCUCUGAGCCAGCCCUGCAGCUUCCCGCCCUUCCCCUAGCUUUGCACAGCGUCUUUGUACACAUUGCAGUCUCAAAACAUUCUCCAUAAAUUUUAACACGUUGCCAAGGAAUUUUUGCAGUGGAAACUUUUUUUUUUUUGCUGCAGAGAAACUGAAUAAGAGCAAACCCUUCAUCGGAGGACACAUCUAGGAAAUUAACUAUUUUUAAAGAAGAGUACACGAAAUCACAAACAGUCACAGCUGGUCCACUUAGCGGUAUCGCCAUACAUGCCUAAGUAAAUGUUGGAAUCCCAAGAAAAAUCCACUGUGCGUCGUGUUCCAGAAACCCACUUUAUAAAU